AACGUAGGUCACAAGCGUUGUCCGGAAUUACUGGGUGUAAAGAGAGCGCAGGCGGGAAGACAAGUUGGAAGUGAAAUCCAUGGGCUCAACCCAUGAACUGCUUUCAAAACUGUUUUUCUUGAGUAGUGCAGAGGUAGGCGGAAUUCCCGGUGUAGCGGUGGAAUGCGUAGAUAUCGGGAGGAACACCAGUGGCGAAGGCGGCCUACUGGGCACCAACUGACGCUGAGGCUCGAAAGUGUGGGUAGCAAACAGG
rnacentral:rRNA from 1 species